UACGUAGGGUGCAAGCGUUGUCCGGAAUUAUUGGGCGUAAAGAGCUCGUAGGCGGUUUGUCGCGUUGUUCGUGAAAACUCACAGCUCAACUGUGGGCGUGCGGGCGAUACGGGCAGACUUGAGUACUGCAGGGGAGACUGGAAUUCCUGGUGUAGCGGUGGAAUGCGCAGAUAUCAGGAGGAACACCGGUGGCGAAGGCGGGUCUCUGGGCAACAACUGACGCUGAGGAGCGAAAGCGUGGGGAGCGAACAGG
rnacentral:rRNA from 1 species